UCAUUGUACCUCCUUUAUCAUAUACUUCUAAACUGCUAAACUAAACUCAGUUUUGUCUGAUGAAACUAAACAAUAUAAUGACAAAAGAUAUCUCUUAUGAAAUGUAAUGAUCAAAGUUCAUUUGGUGAUAUAUCAAAUAAGGGGAUAAUAUAAAAAAGUAAAUGCACAAUGUCAAAAGUUUUAAGCAUCUAUUUCUUAUUAUCACAUCGAAGAACAUUACAAUCUUUCUGAAAGGAAAUCUUUGAAACGAAACUACAUUAUUCAUACAACAAAACAAAAAAUAACAUUUUACCAAAAAUAUCAUCUACUUAAAUAUCGAAACAAAAAAAAAAUAAAAAAAAAUAAAAAGCCAUAAGCAAGUAUUGUAAGAAAUAACUACUGUUAUUAAUAAAAGCGUCUUUGCAAAAUCAAUCUAUCCUUUUACCUUUUAUUGAAGGUAACGUAAUUAAGCUAUUCUGAAAAUAUAAUAUCAAUGAUAAGAGUAUUUACUGUAUAUAUAAAAUCAAUUACUAAUUAUUAAUUAGUAAUUAACUUAAUUAAGUUAAUCGAUUUAAUUAUGUAAAUAUAUAUAUAUAUGUAAACUCCCAUAUGUUAUUCAAGUUAUAAAAUACUGCUUUGAAAAAUUUAACUCUACUGCUAAAAAUUAUAAGCGCAAUUAAGUGAAAAGUUUAAUUAAA